rnacentral:rRNA from 1 species
AUGUUGACGACGGCCUUGCCGCUGAGCAGACCCCCGCACAUGUCGAUGGCCGGUGUCUCGCGGGUGUCACCGGUAUCCUUCUUGAAGGCGAACCCCAGCAUGGCCACCUUCUUCACGGCGACGGUGUUGAACAUGGAGGAGAUGACGUGGUUGACGAAGCCGCUCUUCUGGCAGUCGUUGAUGACGAUGACCAGCCUCCAGUAG